UACAGAGGGGGCAAGCGUUGUUCGGAAUUACUGGGCGUAAAGGGCGCGUAGGCGGCGUGUCAAGUCAGGCGUGAAAGCCCCGGGCUCAACCUGGGAACCGCGCUUGAGACUGGCAUGCUCGAGUUCGGGAGAGGAUGGUGGAAUUCCCAGUGUAGAGGUGAAAUUCGUAGAUAUUGGGAAGAACACCGAUGGCGAAGGCAGCCAUCUGGACCGACACUGACGCUGAGGCGCGAAAGCGUGGGGAGCAAACAGGG
rnacentral:rRNA from 1 species